AGGUGGCGCCGUGGCUGGAACCAGUGAUGUGGUCUAUGCUGACAUCAAGCUAAAAGAAAAAGGUGCCAAGAAGAACAAAAAGGAGAAAGCCAAGACCAGUGCAACCCAGUCAGAUACCCUGUAUUCUACCUUAAAGCCAUUGAAGACUACAGAUAACAGUGAAGAUGAUGAUGACCCCAAUGAUGAUGUGACAUAUUCAGAGGUUACCAUCAAGAACAAGAAGGGAAAGAAACA